ACAUCGUUGGUGAAACGGUAUCAUGCGUCGUUGCCAUGUACAUUCACGGAUUCGACGCGGCGGGGGUUCGACUCCCUCACGAUGUA